ACGGGAGGCAGCAGUGGGGAAUAUUGCACAAUGGGGGAAACCCUGAUGCAGCGACGCCGCGUGAGCGAAGAAGUAUUUCGGUAUGUAAAGCUCUAUCAGCAGGGAAGAAAGUGACGGUACCUGACUAAGAAGCCCCGGCUAACUACGUGCCAGCAGCCGCGGUAAUACGUAGGGGGCAAGCGUUAUCCGGAUUUACUGGGUGUAAAGGGAGCGUAGACGGCAAUGCAAGUCUGGAGUGAAAACCCGGGGCUUAACCCCGGGACUGCUUUGGAAACUGUGUAGCUUGAGUACCGGAGGGGUAAGCGGAAUUCCUAGUGUAGCGGUGAAAUGCGUAGAUAUUAGGAGGAACACCAGUGGCGAAGGCGGCUUACUGGACGGUAACUGACGUUGAGGCUCGAAAGCGUGGGGAGCAAACAGGAUUAGAUACCCUGGUA
rnacentral:rRNA from 1 species